CCUACGGGAGGCAGCAGUGGGGAAUAUUGGACAAUGGGGGCAACCCUGAUCCAGCCAUGCCGCGUGUGAAGAAGGCCCUCGGGUUGUAAAGCACUUUCAGUGAGGAAGAACGCCUGGUGGUUAAUACCCAUCAGGAAAGACAUCACUCACAGAAGAAGCACCGGCUAACUCCGUGCCAGCAGCCGCGGUAAUACGGAGGGUGCGAGCGUUAAUCGGAAUUACUGGGCGUAAAGCGCGCGUAGGUGGCUUGAUAAGCCGGUUGUGAAAGCCCCGGGCUCAACCUGGGAACGGCAUCCGGAACUGUCAAGCUAGAGUGCAGGAGAGGAAGGUAGAAUUCCCGGUGUAGCGGUGAAAUGCGUAGAGAUCGGGAGGAAUACCAGUGGCGAAGGCGGCCUUCUGGACUGACACUGACACUGAGGUGCGAAAGCGUGGGUAGCAAACAGGAUUAGAUACCCCAGUAGUC
rnacentral:rRNA from 1 species